GACGUAGGAGGCGAGCGUUGUCCGGAUUCAUUGGGCGUAAAGAGCGCGCAGGCGGCUUGGUAAGUCGGAUGUGAAAACCCGAGGCUCAACCUCGGGCGUGCAUCCGAAACUGCUCGGCUAGAGGUAGGUAGGGGAGAUCGGAAUUCCUGGUGUAGCGGUGAAAUGCGUAGAUAUUGGGAGGAACACCAGUGGCGAAGGCGGUCCCCUGGGCCGGAACUGACGCUGAGGCGCGAAAGCGUGGGUAGCAAACGGG
rnacentral:rRNA from 1 species